rnacentral:rRNA from 2 species
AGACCCGAAACCCGGUGAUCUAGCCAUGGGCAGGUUGAAGGUUGGGUAACACUAACUGGAGGACCGAACCGACUAAUGUUGAAAAAUUAGCGGAUGACCUGUGGCUGGGGGUGAAAGGCCAAUCAAACCGGGAGAUAGCUGGUUCUCCCCGAAAGCUAUUUAGGUAGCGCCUCGUGAAUUCAUCUCCGGGGGUAGAGCACUGUUUCGGCUAGGGGGCCAUCCCGGCUUACCAACCCGAUGCAAACUGCGAAUACCGGAGAAUGUUAUCACGGGAGACACACGGCGGGUGCUAACGUCCGUCGUGAAGAGGGAAACAACCCAGACCGCCAGCUAAGGUCCCAAAGUCAUGGUUAAGUGGGAAACGAUGUGGGAAGGCCCAGACAGCCAGGAUGUUGGCUUAGAAGCAGCCAUCAUUUAAAGAAAGCGUAAUAGCUCACUGGUCGAGUCGGCCUGCGCGGAAGAUGUAACGGGGCUAAACCAUGCACCGAAGCUGCGGCAGCGACGCUGAUGCGUUGUUGGGUAGGGGAGCGUUCUGUAAGCCUGCGAAGGUGUGUCGUGAGGCAUGCUGGAGGUAUCAGAAGUGCGAAUGCUGACAUAAGUAACGAUAAAGCGGGUGAAAAGCCCGCUCGCCGGAAGACCAAGGGUUCCUGUCCAACGUUAAUCGGGGCAGGGUGAGUCGACCCCUAAGGCGAGGCCGAAAGGCGUAGUCGAUGGGAAACGGGUUAAUAUUCCCGUACUUGGUGUUACUGCGAAGGGGGGACGGAGAAGGCUAUGUUGGCCGGGCGACGGUUGUCCCGGUUUAAGCGUGUAGGUGUGUGUUCCAGGUAAAUCCGGUU